AGGUCGAGUGCCUCAGAAUCUUCAUCUUCAUCAAGUUCUGAAGAGUCGUCUAGCAGCAGUGAACCCAAACGACGAGCACAUAGAGAGAAAUCGGGUAAACGUAAAGGUCGGAGGUCCAGGGUAAGAAGCACCUAUUUUGAUUUUUGUGAAAGAGAUUGUUCUGAUGGGUGUUUGAACCCAUUUGAGGCCAAAUGGGGUAGCAGGAUGGCCGAAUGUUAGGGAGUGCGUUAGGAUCAGAGCUCCGUACAGCCCUAGACAUUAUCUUGUUGGGAGUACUGGAUGGGACAGCCCUGAAUAUCACCUGAUAAGUUUACAUAAGAGGAUGAUACAUUCCUUUGUGUGUUGAAAUAUGUUUAAGUGGGGCAGUCUGAAACUGACAUUGUUGUUGAAUAGACUAAUAAAUGUUAUAAAGUUGGUGGUGU